GACGAACCGUGCGAACGUUAUUCGGAAUCACUGGGCUUAAAGCGCGUGUAGGCGGGAGGGCACGUCCGUCGCUGAAAUCCCCCGGCUCAACCGGGGAACGGGCGCGGAUACGACCUUCCUUGAGGGGCGUAGGGGGACCUGGAACUUCCGGUGGAGCGGUGAAAUGCGUUGAGAUCGGAAGGAACGCCGACGGCGAAAGCAAGGUCCUGGACUCGUCCUGACGCUGAGGCGCGAAAGCCAGGGGAGGGAACGGG
rnacentral:rRNA from 1 species